rnacentral:rRNA from 1 species
UACGAGAGGUGCAAGCGUUAUUCGGAAUUAUUGGGCGUAAAGGGCGCGUAGGCGGGUCAUUAAGUUUGUUGUUAAAUCCUCUGGCUUAACCAGAGACAAGCAAUAAAAACUGGUAACCUAGAGCGUGAGAGAGAGAAGUGGAAUUCCCGGAGUAGCGGUAAAAUGCGUAGAUCGUACGGGAGGAACACCAAUGGCGAAGGCAGCUCGCUGGGACGUGACUGACGCUGAGACGCGAAAGCGUGGGGAGCAAACAGG